rnacentral:rRNA from 1 species
UACGUAGGGGGCAAGCGUUGUCCGGAAUCAUUGGGCGUAAAGAGCGUGUAGGCGGUCCGGUAAGUCCGCUGUGAAAGUCGGGGGCUCAACCCUCGAAUGCCGGUGGAUACUGUCGGGCUAGAGUGCGGAAGAGGCGAGUGGAAUUCCUGGUGUAGCGGUGAAAUGCGCAGAUAUCAGGAGGAACACCUAUUGCGAAGGCAGCUCACUGGGACGGUACUGACGCUGAGACGCGAAAGCGUGGGGAGCAAACAGG